rnacentral:misc_RNA from 1 species
UACGUAGGGUGCGAGCGUUAUCCGGAUUUACUGGGCGUAAAGGGUUUCGCAGGCGGAAUAGUAAGUCUUGUUUGAAAGCCCGCGGCUCAACUGCGGAGGCGGACAGGAUACUACUAUUCUUGAGGACAUCAGGGGAGAUUGGAAUUCUCGGUGGAGGGGUGAAAUCCGUUGAUAUCGAGAGGAACGUCGAUGGCGAAGGCAGAUCUCUGGGGUGUUCCUGACGCUCAUGUACGAAAGCUAGGGUAGCAAACGGG